UACAUGGGGUGCAAACGUUGCUCGGAAUUAUUGGGCGUAAAGCGCACGUAGGCGGUUUGUUAAGUCGGAUGUGAAAUCCCUCGGCUCAACUGAGGAAGUGCAUCCGAAACUGGCAGGCUUGAGUACUAAAGAGGGUCGCGGAAUUCCCGGUGUAGAGGUGAAAUUCGUAGAUAUCGGGAGGAACACCGGUGGCGAAGGCGGCGACCUGGGUAGAUACUGACGCUGAGGAGCGAAAGCGUGGGGAGCGAACAGG
rnacentral:rRNA from 1 species